UACGGAGGAUCCGAGCGUUAUCCGGAUUCAUUGGGUUUAAAGGGUGCGUAGGCGGGAUGAAAAGUCAGUGGUGAAAUCUCAGAGCUUAACUCUGAAACUGCCAUUGAUACUGUCAAUCUUGAGUACAUUUGAUGUGGGCGGAAUGUGUCAUGUAGCGGUGAAAUGCUUAGAUAUGACACAGAACACCGAUUGCGAAGGCAGCUCACAAAACUGUAACUGACGCUGAGGCACGAAAGCGUGGGUAUCAAACAGG
rnacentral:rRNA from 1 species